rnacentral:rRNA from 1 species
CGUAGAUCAGCUAUGCUACGGUGAAUACGUUCCCGGGUCUUGUACUCACCGCCCGUCACACCAUGGGAGUUGAUUUCACCCGAAAUCGGGAUGCCAAACCGGCUACCGCUUACGGUGGAAUUAGCGACUGGGGUGAAGUCGUAACAAGGUAACCGUAGGAGAACCUGCGGUUGGAUCACCUCCUUU